UUUCCGUAGGUGAACCUGCGGAAGGAUCAUUAAUUCGUUGUUAUGGGAUUCGAUGCUGGCAGCCAUUUUUUGGAUGCAUGUGCUUGACUUAACAAUCAUCUUCUUCCAAACACCUGUGCACAUGUUUGAGGGAGUCUUGAGUUGGUUGCCGCUCUUGGGUGAUUUUCUCACAUUUCCUUAAUUCAUUAUACGCUAUUAACAAUGUUGAACGUGCUCUGUGCCGCAAGGCCAUUAAUAUAAUACAACUUUUAACAACGGAUCUCUUGGCUCUC
rnacentral:misc_RNA from 1 species